GAUGAACGCUGGCGGCGUGCCUAAUACAUGCAAGUCGAGCGAAUGGAUUAAGAGCUUGCUCUUAUGAAGUUAGCGGCGGACGGGUGAGUAACACGUGGGUAACCUGCCCAUAAGACUGGGAUAACUCCGGGAAACCGGGGCUAAUACCGGAUAACAUUUUGAACCGCAUGGUUCGAAAUUGAAAGGCGGCUUCGGCUGUCACUUAUGGAUGGACCCGCGUCGCAUUAGCUAGUUGGUGAGGUAACGGCUACCCAAGGCAACGAUGCGUAGCCGACCUGAGAGGGUGAUCGGCCACACUGGGACUGAGACACGGCCCAGCCUCCUACGGGAGGCAGCAGUAGGGAAUCUUCCGCAAUGGACGAAAGUCUGACGGAGCAACGCCGCGUGAGUGAUGAAGGCUUUCGGGUCGUAAAACUCUGUUGUUAGGGAAGAACAAGUGCUAGUUGAAUAAGCUGGCACCUUGACGGUACCUAACCAGAAAGCCACGGCUAACUACGUGCCAGCAGCCGCCGUAA
rnacentral:rRNA from 1 species